GGCUUGUUAGCUCAGUUGGUAGAGCACUGCAUUGGUAUCACAGAGGUCAUGGGUUCAAAUCCCACACAGGCCU
rnacentral:tRNA from 1 species